rnacentral:rRNA from 1 species
AGAAUCAACGCUGGCGGCGUGCCUAACACAUGCAGGUCGAACGCGAGAGGGGAGCAAUCCCUGAUUGAGUGGCAAACGGGUGAGUAACACGUGGGUGACCUGCCUCAGAGUGGGGGAUAACGUCCCGAAAGGGACGCUAAUACCGCAUAACAUCCUGCCUUUAGAAAGGCGGAGAUCAAAGCCGGGGAUCGCAAGACCUGGCGCUUGGAGAGGGGCCCGCGCCUGAUUAGCUAGUUGGUAGGGUAAUGGCCUACCAAGGCUACGAUCAGUA